GAGUGGCGAACGGGCGAGGAAUGCGUUUCUAACGUGCCCCAAGGUCGAGGAUAGCUCGGGGAAACCCGGGGUAAUACUCGAUGACCCCCAUGGAUCGCAUGGUUCGUGGGGCAAAGGCUUGCUGCCUUGGGAUCGGGAAACGCCCUAUCAGGUUGUUGGUGAGGUAACGGCUCACCAAGCCUAAGACGGGUAGCGGGUGUGAGAGCAUGACCCGCCGCAUCGGGACUGAGACACUGCCCGGACUCCUACGGGAGGCUGCAGCAACGGAUAUUGGGCAAUGAGCGAAAGCUUGACCCAGCAAUGCCGCGUGCAGGAGGAAGCCCCUCGGGGUGUAAACUGCUGUCAGGGUUUAGGAAGUUCUGACCAAACCCAAAGGAAGGGCCGGCUAACUUCGUGCCAGCAGCCGCGGUAAUACGAAGGGCCCAAGCGUUAAUCGGAAUCACUGGGCUUAAAGGGUGCGCAGGCGGAAUGGUCAGUGUCUUGUGAAAUCCCACGGCUCAACCGUGGAACUGCAGGGCAUACUGCCAUUCUUGAGGCCGGUAGAGGCCGCCGGAACUCUAGGUGUAGCGGUGAAAUGCGUAGAUAUCUAGAGGAACGCCAAAGACGAAGGUAGGCGGCUGGGCCGGUUCUGACGCUCAGGCACGAAAGCGUGGGGGAGCAAACAGGAUUAGAUACCCUGGUAGUCCACGCCGUAAACGUUGUGCACUAGGUGCUGGAGGUUCUGACACCACCAGCGCCGAAGCGAAAGUGAUUAGUGCACCGCCUGGGGAGUACGGUCGCAAGGCUAAAACUCAAAGGAAUUGACGGGGGCUCACACAAGCGGUGGAGCAUGUGGCUUAAUUCGAGGCAACGCGAAGAACCUUAUCCUGGGCUUGACAUGCAUGGAUUAACGCUGGGAAACCAGCGCCACACUCUUUGAGUGGAACAUGCACAGGUGCUGCAUGGCUGUCGUCAGCUCGUGCUGUGAAGUGUUGGGUUAAGUCCCUUAACGAGCGAAACCCCUGUCGCUAGUUACCAUCAGGUAAUGCUGGGGACUCUAGCGAGACUGCCGGUGUCAAACCGGAGGAAGGCGGGGAUGACGUCAAGUCCUCAUGGCCUUUAUGCCCAGGGCUGCACACGUGCUACAAUGGCGCCGACAGAGCGAAGCAAAACCGCGAGGUAGAGCAAAUCGCAAAAAAGGUGCCCCAGUUCGGAUUGCAGUCUGCAACUCGACUGCAUGAAGCCGGAAUCGCUAGUAAUCGCGUAUCAGCAACGACGCGGUGAAUACGUUCCUGAGCCUUGUACACACCGCCCGUCAAGUCAUGGAAGCCGGGAGUACCCGAAG
rnacentral:rRNA from 1 species